UCUCAUAUUCCGAAAAUUUUGGAGAAAAUUACGGUUAGAUAUUUCAAAAAGAAUAACUGCAAAACAAAUGAUAAUUUUUUACAAGCAUGUAUAUAAAUGUGGCUAAUUUAUGAAUUUUUGCAAAAAUUCAGAGAAUCAGAGGAGCGAAGAGCCAGGAGAGAGAAAAGAGGAGCUUUCAGAGACAAAGACCUGAAGACCCAGAGAAAAAUGUGUUUUUAUGCUAAUUAUGAAGAAAGAAGUGAAUAAUUGUGGAGAAACAUGAUUGGACAAAAAGGAUAUGAUCCCAUGAUAAGAAAAUUAGUCUAACAAACAACAGAGUGAUUUUCUUGAGGACGUUAACAGAUGGGAUCUAGAACCCAGGUCUUCAGAGUCCUACCUCAGUGUCCUUUCUGCUACAAAUGCAGAUAGAUUGAAUUAACUCAAGACUCUGAGUAGGUAUUUUUUUCAUCACCUUCCUCUUCUUCACCACCUCCACUCCAUUAUCACCUCUCCAACUCCCCAUCCCAGCCUUUCUGGCUAUUCCUGCUGCCUUCUACUGCUGUGUGAAACUCUUGCUUAAAGCCCAAGUACAAGUUCCCUUACGGGAAAUUGCAGGACUGAAUGUUUCAGAUGCCUGGAGGAUAUAUUUGGUUACUGAUGCUCUGAGAAGCAUGAGCUGUAUUCUUUUGAAAUGGACAGAUGAUGACAACAGCUUUUAGUGAAGUGGCGUUUUCUUCCCUGAGGGCUUAACUGCAGGAGGUAUAUGAAAUAUAAAAAGAUUAUUUCAUUUUGUUUAUUUAUUUAUUUAGUUUUUAUACAAUCUGUGGUCAUCGCCUCCUCUCAUCAAACUCUGACCCACAAAUUCAAUUAGAGAGCUUUCCUGGAAGUUUGCUCUUUCAUGAGGUUCACCUGCAGGGUAAGAAAGAACAUAUGUUGGCCAGAAAUCAAAGACAGUGCAAACAUCCUCUGCUCAAAUUACUUUGAGUCCAUAUUUCUAUUAAAUUUCCAGUAAAGUAUGCUCAAUAAAUCAUAGCAUUUGAAAUUAAUUGUUUCAAUGAGGCAUUUAAUUUUGCACAAUCCAUUGCUCUGGGUGUAUAUUAGCUAAAUAUUUAUGAGUUGAUUUCCAAAGCAGUCAAAUUUGUUAAGGACGGAAGAUAACUAUCUUCCCAUAUGAUUUGCCCAAGAUUUUUUUUUCUAAGUGAUUACUGAAAUGUCAAAGUUGUAAAGAAUGUUGGUAUAUUUUGAAAUAAAUAAAGUGAAA
rnacentral:lncRNA from 1 species